CACGUAGGGGGCAAGCGUUGUCCGGAUUUAUUGGGCGUAAAGAGCUCGUAGGUGGUUCGAUAAGUCGGGUGUGAAACCUCCAGGCUCAACCUGGAGACGCCACCCGAUACUGUCGUGACUAGAGUCCAGUAGGGGAGCGUGGAAUUCCUGGUGUAGCGGUGAAAUGCGCAGAUAUCAGGAGGAACACCGGUGGCGAAGGCGGUUCUCUGGGCAUUACCUGACGCUGAGGAGCGAAAGCGUGGGGAGCAAACAGG
rnacentral:rRNA from 1 species